rnacentral:rRNA from 1 species
AGAACGAACGCUGGCGGCGUGCUUAACACAUGCAAGUCGAACGGGUAGUUCCUUCGGGGACGAAAGUGGCGCACGGGUGAGUAACGCGUGGACAACCUGUCCAGAUGUCUGGAACAGCCCUCCGAAAGGGGGAUUAAUACCGGAUGAGCCGCAGUGCCGGAGGGUGCUGCGGGAAAGGCGGCCUCUGCUUGCAAGCUGCCGCAUUUGGAGGGGUCUGCGUGCCAUUAGCUAGUUGGGGAGGUAACGGCUCACCAAGGCUGCGAUGGCUAGCGGGUCUGAGAGGAUGAUCCGCCACACUGGCACUGAAACACGGGCCAGACUCCUACGGGAGGCAGCAGUGAGGAAUAUUGCGCAAUGGGGGCAACCCUGACGCAGCGACGCCGCGUGGGUGACGAAGGCCUUCGGGUCGUAAAACCCUGUCGGGAGGAAAGAAAUGCGUUCAAGUCAACACCUUGGACGUUUGACGGUACCUCCAAAGGAAGCACCGGCUAACUCUGUGCCAGCAGCCGCGGUAAUACAGAGGGUGCAAGCGUUGUUCGGAAUUACUGGGCGUAAAGGGCGUGCAGGCGGCCUGUCAAGUCAGAUGUGAAAGCCCACGGCUCGACUGUGGAAGCGCAUUUGAAACUGGCAGGCUUGAGUACCAGAGGGGAAAGUGGAAUUCCCGGCGUAGAGGUGAAAUUCGUAGAUAUCGGGAGGAAUACCGGUGGCGAAGGCGACUUUCUGGCUGGAUACUGACGCUGAGACGCGAAAGCGCGGGGAGCAAACAGGAUUAGAUACCCUGGUAGUCCGCGCCGUAAACGAUGUGAACUGGAUGCAGGGGGGUGUUGAUCCCCUCUGUGUCGCAGCCAACGCGCUAAGUUCACCGCCUGGGGAGUACGGCCGCAAGGUUAAAACUCAAAGGAAUUGACGGGGGCCCGCACAAGCGGUGGAGUAUGUGGUUUAAUUCGAUGCAACGCGAAGAACCUUACCUGGUCUUGACAUCCCGGGAAUUCCCUUGAAAGGGGGAAGUGCCUCGCAAGAGGAGCUUGGAGACAGGUGCUGCAUGGCUGUCGUCAGCUCGUGUCGUGAGAUGUUGGGUUAAGUCCCGCAACGAGCGCAACCCCCGCCGUCAGUUGCCAGCAUUCAGUUGGGCACCCUGACGGGACCGCCGGCGUCAAGCCGGAGGAAGGUAGGGAUGACGUCAAGUCCUCAUGGCCUUUAUGACCAGGGCUACACACGUACUACAAUGGCCGGUACAAAGGGCUGCGACAGGGCGACCUGAAGCCAAUCCCCAAAAGCCGGUCUCAGUCCGGAUCGGAGCCUGCAACUCGGCUCCGUGAAGUUGGAAUCGCUAGUAAUCGCGGAUCAGCACGCCGCGGUGAAUACGUUCCCGGGCCUUGUACACACCGCCCGUCACACCACGGGAGUCGAUUGCACCAGAAGCGGCUGGGCGAACCUUCGGGACGCAGGCCGCCAAGGUAUGGUCGGUGACUGGGGUG